UACGUAGGGUGCGAGCGUUAAUCGGAAUUACUGGGCGUAAAGGGUGCGUAGGCGGUUUGCUAAGACAGGUGUGAAAUCCCCGGGCUUAACCUGGGAAUUGCGCUUGUUACUGGCAGGCUAGAGUAUGGCAGAGGGGGGUAGAAUUCCACGUGUAGCAGUGAAUGCGUAGAGAUGUGGAGGAACACCGAUGGCGAAGGCAGCCCCCUGGGUCAAGAUUGACGCUCAUGCACGAAAGCGUGGGGAGCAAACAGG
rnacentral:rRNA from 1 species